rnacentral:rRNA from 1 species
AGUGAACGCUGGCGGUAUGCCUAACACAUGCAAGUCGAACGGCAGCACAGUAAGAGCUUGCUCUUACGGGUGGCGAGUGGCGGACGGGUGAGGAAUACACCGGAAUCCACUUUUUCGUGGGGGAUAACGUAGGGAAACUUACGCUAAUACCGCAUACGACCUACGGGUGAAAGCAGGGGAUCUUCGGACCUUGCGCGAUUGAAUGAGCCGAUGACGGAUUAGCUCGUUGGCGGGUUAAAGGCCCACCAAGGCGACGCUCCGUAGCUGGUCUGAGAGGCUGAUCAGCCACACUGGAACGGGAACACGGUCCAGACUACUACGGGAGGCAGCAGUGGGAAAUAUUGGCCAGUGGGAGCAAGCCUGAUCCAGCCAUACCGCGUGGGUGAAGGAGGCAUUCGGGUUGUGAGGCCGUUUUGUUGGGAAGGAAAAGCAGCAGGUUAAUACCCCGAUGUUCUGACGGUACCCGAAGAAUAAGCACCGGCUAACUUCGUG